UAAUGACAUUUUAUUGAACGUAAAGAAAAAAAUAAUUUGAAAAACAAAAAAAACAAACAAAAACAAAGCAGUUAGUAGAUUACUUGUAAAGAAUACAACUUACUGUUUAUAUAGAGUGACUGCUGCUCGCAAAUAAAUGAAAGUGUCCAUAGAGCCUACACACAGUGGAAGCUGCCCUGUGUACGAGCCGUACCGACAUCCCCCCCGCUACCGUUACUGCUGCCUAAGGGGCGCAGGGCACCAAUACCCCCAAGUGAGCUUGUGGGCUGUAUUCACAGUGCGUGUAGGCGUCAUGCACCCUUUAAAAGGGUACUCCGGCCCUAAGACAUCUUAUCCCCUAUCCAAAGAAUAAGGGAUAAGAUGUGUUGCCAUUCAGCACCCACCUCUUUGAGCUGCAUGCCGCACUGCCGGGUGUGUGCCGAAUGCAAGGGUCCCAGCGGCGGGACCCCAGUGGUCAGACAUCUUAUCCUCUAGGGGAUAAGAUGUCUUAGGGCCAGAGUACCCCUUUAAUCCAGACAUUGGGGCAGGAGGAGACUCAGCAGCACAUACAGUUUGCAAAGUGUCACUUCUAAACUCUAAUUCCAGAGCUCAAAUGCAGCGUUACUCCAGAAAAUGCAUCCAGAAGAAAUGCAAACGUGGGAUGUGCCGUCAGAACCUAGAAGUGUUUAAUGUGCAAACCAACAUUUACUCUAUACAUGCUGUAAUAGAUUGCAACUGAAACAGGUAAAAACAGAGAGAUAGAGAGAGAGGGAUACAGGGGGAGGAGGAGAGAGAGAGAGGGAUACAGGGGGAGGAGGAGAGACGUUUGACCACAGAUGCUCCGAGACAGAGAAUGUGUCAGUAUUUUAAAAAAAACACACAUGGAAACAUCUAAUGAACAUUACAGGAUAGAUACGUUGCAGUAUCAGCUCAUUCUCCUUUAACAGGCUGUACAUGUUAUAAAGCAAGCUGUACACAAACCAUAUGUACCAAGAAAAAGUCAUCUUUAAUGUCAAAGCAGAUUAGAACAGAAAAAAAAAAAAAAAAAGUGGUCGUUUGUCAACAGAAUGAAAUGGGGGAAAAAAGACAAAUAAAAAACAAACAUGAAAAAAAUAAAGAGAAAAAAAUGCUACAAGCGGUGGAAGCCAAAAAUACCACAGGGCACACACAACGGGUGAUGAUUAUUGUUUCAUUUCUUUCAGAAUAUACAACUAAUGCUAUAAAAAAAAAAAAAAUAAAA